CUGGGGUUUGAUUAUGGCUCAGAUUGAACAUGGCUGGAUGCUUUACAUGCAAGUCGAACAGCAGCCUGGACUUCGGUCUGGUGGCGAGUGGCGAACGGGUGAGGUAAUGUCGGAACGUGCCUAGUAGCGGGGAUAACUACGCGAAAGCGUAGCUAUUACCAUACGCCCUUCGGAAAAGCGGGGGACCUUCGGGCCUCGCACUAUUAGAGCGGCCGAUAUCGGAUUGGCUAGUUGGUGGGUAGCGAUAUAGGCGACGAUCAUCGCUGGUUUGAGAGGACGACCAGCCACACUGGACUGGACCACGGCCAGACUCUACGGGAGGCAGCAGUGGGGAAUUUUGGACAAUAGGAAACCUGAUCAGCGCUCCGCGUGUGCGAUGAAGGCCUUCGGGUUGUAAAGCACUUUUGGCAGGAAAAGAAACGGCACGGGAUAGUACCCCGUGCAACUGACGGUACCUGCAGAAUAAGCACCGGCCUAACUACGUGCUGGCAACCGCGGUAAUACGUAGGGUGCAAGCGUUAAUCGGAAUUACUGGGCGUAAAGCGUGCGCAGGCGGUUCAGGAAGAAAGAUGUGAAAUCCCAGAGCUUAACUUUGGAACUGCAUUUUUAACUACCGAGCUAGAGUGUGUCAGAGGAGGUGGAAUUCCGCGUCUGGCAACGGUGAAAUGCGUGAAUAUGGAGAACACGAUGGCGAAGGCAGCUCCUGGGAUAACACCCAGGAAAGCGCUCAUGCACAGCGUGGGGAGCAAACAGGAUUAGAUACCCUGGUAGUCCACGCCUAACGAUGUCAACUAGCUGUUGGGGCCUUCGGGCCUUGGUAUACAGCUAACGUGAAGUUGACCGCCUGCCAAGUACGGUCGCAAGAUUAAAACUCAAAGGAAUUGACGGGGACCGCACAAGCAGUGGAUGAAUGUGGAUUAAUUCGAUGCAACGCGAAAAACCUUACCUACCCUUGACAUGUCUGGAAUGCCGAAGAGAUUUGGCGGUGCUCGCAAGAGAACCGGAACACGGGUGCUGCUGUGGCUGUCGUCAGCUCGUGUCGUGAGAUGUUGGGUUAAGUCCGCAACGAGCGCAACCCUUGUCGUUAGUUUGCUACGAAGGGCACUCUAAUGGGACUGCCGGUACAAGCCGGAGGAAGGUGGGGAUGACGUCAAGUCCUCAUGGCCCUAUGGGUAGGGCUUCACACGUCACCUGAUAGGUCGGGACAGAAGGUGCUCAACCGCGAGGGGCCAGUCGAAACCCCGAUCAAUGGGCUCCGGAUGCAGUCACAACUCGACUGCGUGAAGUCAGAAUCACUAGUAAUCGCGGAUCAGCAUGUCGCGGUGAAUACGUUCCCGGGUCUUGUACUUCCCGUCACACCAUGGGGGUGGGUUUUUGCAGAAGUAGUUAGCCUAACCGCAAGGGGAGCGAUUACCGUUUUAUUAGGAUUCGCUAUUAGGUGAAGUCGUAACAAGGUAA
rnacentral:rRNA from 1 species